rnacentral:rRNA from 1 species
UACAGAGGUCUCAAGCGUUGUUCGGAUUCAUUGGGCGUAAAGGGUGCGUAGGCGGCGCGGUAAGUCGGAUGUGAAAUCUCGGAGCCUAACUUCGAAACUGCAUUCGAUACUGCCGUGCUUGAGGACUGGAGAGGAGACUGGAAUUUACGGUGUAGCGGUGAAAUGCGUAGAUAUCGUAAGGAAGACCAGUGGCGAAGGCGGGUCUCUGGACAGUUCCUGACGCUGAGGCACGAAGGUCAGGGGAGCAAACGGG